rnacentral:misc_RNA from 1 species
UGCGGGUUGAGAGGGAAGGCGGGCAUCCGAGAGGUAGCGGGAAGCUGGUUAAGCCAUACGGAGGUGGAGAUGAGGGGGCCAGGACUAGCGGCUCCGCGCCAGAGCUUUUGCAUAGCUGCUGCUGUGGCCGCUGAUGGUGGCGGCGGCGGUGCUCAUGAAGGAGGGAGACAGCGGCGGCGGAGGGAGAGAGGGGAGGGGCGAUUUGGCGGCGCA